GGAACUGUGCCCGAAUUCAAGGACCACUUUGAUAGAGUGGCUAAUGGGGGUUGAAGUCCCCCCAGUUCC
rnacentral:tRNA from 1 species